AGUGAACGCUGGCGGUAGGCCUAACACAUGCAAGUCGAACGGCAGCACAGAGGAGCUUGCUCCUUGGGUGGCGAGUGGCGGACGGGUGAGGAAUACAUCGGAAUCUACUCUGCCGUGGGGGAUAACGUAGGGAAACUUACGCUAAUACCGCAUACGACCUACGGGUGAAAGCAGGGGAUCUUCGGACCUUGCGCGAUUGAAUGAGCCGAUGUCGGUUUAGCUAGUUGGCGGGGUAAAGGGCCACCAAGGCGACGAUCCGUAGCUGGUCUGGGGGGAUGAUCAGCCACACUGGAGCUGAGACACGGUCCAGACUCAUACGGGAGGCAGCAGUGGGGAAUAUUGGACAAUGGGCGCAAGCCUGAUCCAGCCAUACCGCGUGGGUGAAGAAGGCCUUCGGGUUGUAAAGCCCUUUUGUUGGGAAAGAAAUCCAUCUGGUUAAUACCCGGAUGGGAUGACGGUACCCAAAGAAUAAGCACCGGCUAACUUCGUGCCAGCAGCCGCAGUAA
rnacentral:rRNA from 1 species